rnacentral:rRNA from 1 species
GAUGAACGCUGGCGGCGUGCCUAAAACAUGCAAGUCGUGCGGCAGCAUGCCCUUCGGGGUGAUGGCGAGCGGCGGACGGCUGAGUAACACGUGGGAAACUGCCCCGAAGUGAGGGAUAACUGCUCGAAAGAGUAGCUAAUACCGCAUAUGGUCUACGGAUUAAAGCUUCGGCGCUUCGGGAGGAGCCCGCGUAAGAUUAGAUAGUUGGUGAGGUAAUGGCUCACCAAGUCGACGAUCUUUAACUGGUUUGAGAGGAUGAUCAGUCAGACUGGAACUGAGACACGGUCCAGACUCCUACGGGAGGCAGCAGUUAGGAAUAUUCCACAAUGGGGGCAACCCUGAUGGAGCAACGCCGCGUGGAGGAUGAAGGCCUUCGGGUUGUAAACUUCUUUUCUAUGCGAAGAAUAUGACGGUAACAUGGGAACAAGGGUCUGCUAACUACGUGCCAGCCGCCGCAGUAA